rnacentral:rRNA from 1 species
CCUACGGGAGGCAGCAGUGAGGAAUAUUGGUCAAUGGUCGGGAGACUGAACCAGCCAAGCCGCGUGAGGGAUGAAGGUACAGAGUAUCGUAAACCUCUUUUGUCAGGGAACAAAGGCGGGGACGUGUCCCCGGAUGAGUGUACCUGAAGAAAAAGCAUCGGCUAACUCCGUGCCAGCAGCCGCGGUAAUACGGAGGAUGCGAGCGUUAUCCGGAUUUAUUGGGUUUAAAGGGUGCGCAGGCGGUCUGUUAAGUCAGCGGUCAAAGCCCGGGGCUCAACCCCGGCCCGCCAUUGAAAGUGGCAGUCGCGAGUUGGAGAGAAGUAUGCGGAAUGCGCGGUGUAGCGGUGAAAUGCAUAGAUAUCGCGCAGAACUCCGAUUGCGAAGGCAGCAUGCCGGCUCCACACUGACGCUGAGGCACGAAAGCGUGGGUAUCGAACAGGAUUAGAUACCCCUGUAGUC